UUCACAGCAACAGUUUGGAUCACUGUGUCGGAGUCUGGGGUCUUUAUCUGUGGUGUGGCCAGGCUCCUGGCUGACACCCCCACCAGGGCUGAGGAAGAGAGUGGAGGAACUCAUUGAUCCACAGUACAGGAUCUGCAGUCUGGAGAUGAUGUUCGGAGUAGACAAAUGAAGAAACGCGCCACAGAGAACCUUGAGAGUAAUGAGUGAUGGCUCUUCAGGAGAUCAGUGUGAUCUUCACACACAGACCCUCGGCCUUCUCUGCUGCUGUGCUGCUUCUGACACUCGUCCUCUGCAGAGGAUCAUUUGUAGUGGAUGUGACACAGAGCUCCUAUCAGGCAGAGGA